CUCAGCUUUCAUUUUUUAAAAAGUGUAUUGUUUUUAGCUCUCAUGGUUGUGGAGAAAAGCUUGAAGACAUGAUUCGUAUGUAAUUUAAAGGCUCAAACAUCAGAAAGCAAAUAAAAAAUAAGACAUGUAUUUUUUAAAAACAUCAUGAUUUUGGGGGCCUGAUUCAUGUUUUUGAUCAUUUGGGGUUGGCAAGACAGCUCUUCAUCUCUGUGCACCAGUUUCCCAUUGGUAAAAUUGGAUAAUAAUACUUCCCUACCUCCCAGAAGUGUUGAAAUUCACUAAUGUUUGUGAGGUGCUCAGAUAGAUACUAUAAUGAUUGGGACCCUAUAAAUACAUAGACUCUUGUGAUGAAGGCUUUUGCAAUGUUUUGUGUACUUGUCUUUUGACCUCUCUCUUAUACAAAUUGCUUUUUUAUUUCAGCAAGGAGUAAAAGAAAAGGCAAUCAUGUGUCAGCUGACUUCUAUGUUUUUGCCUCACACAGUCCUAUGUUUACAGGAAAUGCCUGCUACAGAGACAGUUUUGUAGCAAGAGGUGGUGUCAGAUUUGACUAACAUGCUCACAUGAUUAGGUUUACUAAGUGAAGACCCAGAUGACACAUUGAUGAGAGACUUGCAAGCAAUCAGGCCUUUGCAACAUCAAUUAAUCCAAAAAGCGAUUUUAUGCUGUACCUCUUUACUGAUCGGUAACUAUGCAUGAGGUUACACGUCCCCUCCCCCACCAAGAAUGUGCCUCCCUGCUGCAUUAGUAACUAUCUCUUCAACGCAUAUUCAGUUACCAGUCUCCCUCUAUAAUCAGCCCCAGCUUUUUUUUUUUUUUUUUGCAUUCUAGUAGACUAAAAGGACUGCAGUCUUUUAAAAUGCACUUUGUAGGUAUUUUAAUACUUGUCCAGAAUGUGUAGGUUCAAUUACAUUGUGUAGUGAAUUUAACAUGAAUCAUCUUAUUUUUAUCAUGCAAAAUAAACGGUAGUGUUUCUUUCAGUGAUAUACACAUGCUAUGAAUGAAAAUGCAUAAUUUCAAGUAUAGGCAGGCCUGAUUCCUGAAAACACGUGUAACUAUGGGACUACUCACAUGCGUAAAGCCGCUGCUGUCCCUUCAUCAGCACUUCUGUCUCAGAUCUCCAAUGCAGCAAAAAUCCUGGUGCUUCUGAACAUUUUGAAUGCCUUGCAGUUGGUAUGAUAAAAAUGUGCAUUUGAAAGGAUAUAAAGAGAUGAGUGACUGUUUAAAAUGGGGUAUUAGCAUGACAGUUGACAAAGGCAUGGUAUAUUGUUGGAUCCCACUGGCUUCUAAUGCUCAUUAAUGAGAACAAGUAUUCUUUGAUCAGAGUCAGAGAUAGUUGCCUCAAAUAUUCUUCACAUAGACAUUGGAUGUAUUUCACAUUUUGAAAAGAUUGUAUAUAUGUUCAUAUACCUUAGGCACACAUCCCUUUGCUUCAGAACAUUAUUGGUUGUUUUCUUUGGUGAUUGACUAGUGACCUGAACCUUGUCCUGUACUUUUGUUGUGUUUAUUUGAUUUUUUUCCCCCUUCCCUGUAGUUGCAGGAAUAAUGCUCUGGCAUGCAUGUGCAAUGCUGUACAGCCAGAGAUCUCCAAUAAAGAGUCUGAGUAGUGCUGAGCAUCGGCAAUGCCAUUUAAAUCAAGUUACUUUGCUCUGAACACCCUUACUGCUCCUGGAAGCUCUCAGCAACUUGAAAGAUUAGGUUUCAGAGUAGCAGCCGUGUUAGUCUGUAUUCGCAAAAAGAAAAGGAGUACUGGUGGCACCUUAGAGACUAACAAAUUUAUUAGAGCAUAAGCUUUCGUGAGCUACAGCGAUGA